GGGUGAGGUAGAGGAGCGGGCUGCAAGAGUAAGUUUGUCUUUUAUAUCCGGCAAUGUGUUUAGGGCAAAAAGAAAGGGCAUCCCGCCGAAGUCCGAAAGCUGCCGGGGUUUUUGGGCUGGGUCGGCGCCGAAAAGACGCCGGACUGUUACCGCGGCAAACAAACCUCAUUGCCCGGUGGAGCGCUAUCUCAGGU
rnacentral:ncRNA from 2 species